rnacentral:rRNA from 1 species
UACGUAGGUGGCAAGCGUUGUCCGGAAUUACUGGGCGUAAAGGGUGCGUAGGCGGGAUCUUAAGUCAGAUGUGAAAACCCCGGGCUUAACCUGGGGACUGCAUUUGAAACUGGGGUCCUAGAGUGCAGGAGAGGAAAGCGGAAUUCCUAGUGUAGCGGUGAAAUGCGUAGAUAUUAGGAAGAACACCAGUGGCGAAGGCGGCUUUCUGGACUGUAACUGACGCUGAUGCACGAAAGCGUGGGGAGCAAACAGGAUUAGAUACC